UACGUAGGGGGCUAGCGUUGUCCGGAUUUAUUGGGCGUAAAGAGCGUGUAGGCGGUCUGUCGCGUCGGCUGUGAAAACUUUGGGGCUCAACCCCAAGCCUGCAGUCGAUACGGGCAGACUAGAGUGCGGUAGGGAGACUGGAAUUCCCGGUGUAGCGGUGAAAUGCGCAGAUAUCGGGAGGAACACCAGUAGCGAAGGCGGACUCGGCUGGGCCAUUCCGUGACGCUGAGACGCGAAAGCUAGGG
rnacentral:rRNA from 1 species